UCAGCCGCCGCGGUAAAACCAGCACCUCGAGUGGUCAGGAGGUCUAUUGGGCCUAAAGCAUCCGUAGCCGGUUGUUUAAGUUUUCGGUUAAAUCUAUGCGCUUAACGUAUAGGCUGCCGAAAAUACUGGACAGCUAGGGAGCGGGAGAGGUAAACGGUACUCAAUAGGAAGGGGUAAAAUCCUUUGAUCUGUUGAUGACCACCUGUGGCGAAGGCGGUGUACCGGAACACGUUCGACGGUGAGGGAUGAAAGCUGGGGGAGCAAACCGGAUUAGAUACCCGGGUAGUCCCAGCUGUAAACGAUGCAAACUCGGUGAUGCAUUGGCUUGUGGCCAAUGCAGUGCCGCAGGGAAGCCGUUAAGUUUGCCGCCUGGGAAGUACGUACGCAAGUAUGAAACUUAAAGGAAUUGGCGGGGGAGCACA
rnacentral:rRNA from 1 species